AGAACAGUGAAGAGAUUAGGAAAGGAAAAAGUAGGAAAAGGAGUGCUGGUUGAUUGGGAGCAGGGCCUACGAGAGAGAGUCCUCCAUUCCUUUUGGGAAUAUUAGUGGAUGGGACAGAAAGCUGAGGAACAGAAGGUUUCAACAGUUAAAACAAGUACAUCCUCUAUCAGAUCAGACAUGACCAGAUAGAGGCGAUUGACGUGCGAUGGAACUCCCAUAUUUUUAGUGGUGUCAAUCAGAUCAGACAUGACCAGAUAGAGGCGAUUGACGUGCGAUGGAACUCCCAUUUUUUUAGUGGGAUAAAUAAUUGAAGCCUCCUCCCCUCAUUUACCAUACGCUCCAAUAAAAUUUUAAAAGCUUCUCUAUUUCCUUUCUUUCUUACUGAUUUAACAAUAAUGUUUAUUUAGAAA
rnacentral:lncRNA from 1 species